UACGUAGGGGGCAAGCGUUGUCCGGAUUUAUUGGGCGUAAAGAGCUCGUAGGCGGUUCCGUGAGUCGGCUGUGAAAUCUCCACGCUCAACGUGGAGGGGUCAGUCGAUACUGCGGUGACUCGAGUCCGGUAGGGGAGUGUGGAAUUCCCGGUGUAGCGGUGAAAUGCGCAGAGAUCGGGAGGAACACCCGUAGCGAAGGCGGCACUCUGGGCCGGUACUGACGCUGAGGAGCGAAAGCGUGGGGAGCAAACAGG
rnacentral:rRNA from 1 species